UUAAUAAAAACAUGAGACUCUAUAUAAUAUCUCCACCUCUUUUGUGUUUUUUCAAGAGAUGAGGAGUGUGAGGAGCAGCAAGAUGGUUCACAAGGCCUUAUCUCUCAUCCUUUUCAUCGCUCUCUUAAUUUCGGUUGAAUUGGUUCCAAAAUUGGAAGCCAGAACAAACAAUAUCCCAGCCAGCGUAUGGGGAAGACUCAGCGGCGGGAAAUUCAAAGAAAA